GCUCUGGCUGUGGAGAAAGAUUCCCUUGUUGUGCUGCUCCAAACCCUGAACCAAAACCCAGGAUGAUGUUCAAGCAGCAAACAGAGAGGACAGAGGGGGAAUUUCAGAGCACAGCAAGAACCAGAGAAUAGAGAUCUUACAAGCCCAGCUGAGAUCUUCCAAUCUUGUGGAUAGAAGCAUCUAAACCCUUUGACAGGGAUGCUCAAGAAAAAUCUUGGACCUUUGAAAAAUGUGUCUGCAAUGCUGAGAUCCUUCAGAAACGUUCUAGAAAAUGUGACUCAGUAACCCGGACUACAGGAGUGAAAAUAAAACACAGGUGACACCAGUGAUUUGUCAAAUGUGGCAGUGAGUUGUAGCUUGGAAGGGUUUUUCUCCCCAAGGGGUAAGUGGGACUCCUGAAAAUGUACUUACACCACACACCUCACUGGUAAAUAAAGACCAGAUACAACAACAUGGUGGAAUAAAGAAUAUG